rnacentral:lncRNA from 1 species
UGCUGGUCCAUAAAGCUCAAUGACGAUAUUUUAGUGAACGAUAGCAGAGAUGACAUAGAUGUAUCAAUAUAUAUAUAUAUAGGAAGAUGUGGUAUGAGUGCCAAUGAGACAACUCUCCAUCCAAGAAACAAUUUAUAAAAGUAAACCAUUAUAGGCCAAGGUACGGCCUUCAACACGGAGCCUUGGCUCACAUCAAUCAGCACGUUAUAAAGGAC